AUUGAACGCUGGCGGCAUGCUUUACACAUGAAGUCGAACGGUAACAGGCCGCAAGGUGCUGACGAGUGGUGAACGGGUGAGUAAUGCAUCGGAACGUGCCCAGUCGUGGGGGAUAACGCAGCGAAAGCUGUGCUAAUACCGCAUACGAUCUGUGGAUGAAAGCGGGGGACCUUCGGGCCUCGCGCGAUUGGAGCGGCCGAUGUCAGAUUAGGUAGUUGGUGGGGUAAAGGCUCACCAAGCCGACGAUCUGUAGCUGGUCUGGGAGGACGACCAGCCACACUGGGACUGAGAGACGGCCCAGACUCCUACGGGAGGCAGCAGUGGGGAAUUUUGGACAAUGGGCGCAAGCCUGAUCCAGCAAUGCCGCGUGCAGGAAGAAGGCCUUCGGGUUGUAAACUGCUUUUGUACGGAGCGAAAAGGCUCCCUCUAAUACAGGGGGCUCAUGACGGUACCGUAAGAAUAAGCACCGGCUAACUACGUGCCAGCCGCCGCCGUAACAC
rnacentral:rRNA from 1 species